UACGUAGGGUGCAAGCGUUAAUCGGAAUUAUUGGGCGUAAAGCGCGCGCAGGCGGCCUUUUAAGUCUGAUGUGAAAGCCCACGGCUCAACCGUGGAAGGUCAUUGGAAACUGAAAGGCUUGAGUACAGAAGAGGAAAGCGGAAUUCCACGUGUAGCGGUGAAAUGCGUAGAGAUGUGGAGGAACACCAGUGGCGAAGGCGGCUUUCUGGGCCAUUACUGACGCUGAGGAGCGAAAGCGUGGGGAGCGAACAGG
rnacentral:rRNA from 1 species